UACGUAGGGAGCAAGCGUUGUCCGGAAUCAUUGGGCGUAAAGCGCGCGUAGGCGGCCCUGUAAGUCCGUUGUGAAAGUCAAAGGCUCAACCUUUGAAAGCCGAUGGAUACUGCCGGGCUAGAAUCCGGAAGAGGCGAGUGGAAUUCCUGGUGUAGCGGUGGAAUGCGCAGAUAUCAGGAGGAACACCAAUAGCGAAGGCAGCUCGCUGGGACGGUAUUGACGCUAAGGCGCGAAAGCGUGGGGAGCAAACAGG
rnacentral:rRNA from 1 species